rnacentral:rRNA from 1 species
AGUGAACGCUGGCGGUAGGCCUAACACAUGCAAGUCGAACGGCAGCACAGUAAGAGCUUGCUCUUACGGGUGGCGAGUGGCGGACGGGUGAGGAAUACAUCGGAAUCUACUUUUUCGUGGGGGAUAACGUAGGGAAACUUACGCUAAUACCGCAUACGACCUACGGGUGAAAGCAGGGGAUCUUCGGACCUUGCGCGAUUGAAUGAGCCGAUGUCGGAUUAGCUAGUUGGCGGGGUAAAGGCCCACCAAGGCGACGAUCCGUAGCUGGUCUGAGAGGAUGAUCAGCCACACUGGAACUGAGACACGGUCCCGACUCCUACGGGAGGCAGCAGUGGGGAAUAUUGGACAAUGGGCGCAAGCCUGGUCCAGCCAUACCGCGUGGGUGGAGGAAGCCUUCGGGGUGGUAAGGCCUUUUGUUGGGAAAGAAAAGCAGCAGGUUAAUACCCCGCUGUUCUGACGGUACCCAAAGAAUAAGCACCGGCUAACUUCGUG